rnacentral:rRNA from 1 species
UACGGAGGGUGCAAGCGUUAAUCGGAAUUACUGGGCGUAAAGCGCGCGUAGGCGGUUUGUUAAGUCGGAUGUGAAAGCCCAGGGCUCAACCUUGGAAUUGCAUUCGAUACUGGCUUACUAGAGUACGAUAGAGGGUGGUAGAAUUUCUCGUGUAGCAGUGAAAUGCGUAGAUAUGAGAAGGAAUACCAGUGGCGAAGGCGGCCACCUGGAUCGAUACUGACGCUGAGGUGCGAAAGCGUGAGGAGCAAACGGG